UUCUGAGUGAGCUGUUGCAACAUAUUCCUUAAAACAUUGGGAGAGCCCACCCCAGUAUGCUCUGAGACGCCUGCCAACAAACCGUUCAAGGCAGGGCUAUCUACCACCUGAGACAUAACACUAGAGGCAUCAAACUGGACACUAGAACCUUGCUCUCCCACCGGACUAUUCUCCGAGUUCCUGCCAACAGAUGGGAGUAUUUGACCUGAAUGCAUCUCAUUUGCACCCGCCCUAUCUGCACCAGAGUUACGAGAUGCAAGAGAUUGUAAAAGCUGUUGUGCAAUCAUUCCAGUGUUCAGGUUCUGACUGACAGGAAUAUUGCUUGUUCCAUGACCUCCACUCCUCACCACCGCUUUUGGCUGCCUGCUUUUACUCUUCCGUUCCAAACUCCCCAUCCCCAACCCAAGUGGAACAGCUUGAGCACCUUCUGGAAGGUCAUGCUUCUCACUGGAACUAGGGACAUUUUCUGAAGUCUCUUCUGACUUUAGUGAGGUUUCUCCAUUUGAACAUCCCACUGAGCAAGAAGGGACAUCUUUUGCGCUCAAAAGACUCUCUCUAGUCUCAUCAUUACUUCCUCGCACAUGAUCAUCCUGAUUCUGUUGAUCAUCGCCUUCAGACAUUAGCACAGGUAAGGUCACAGCAGAUUCCCCUGCCCCAUUAAUCACUGUGCUAUUGUGUUGUUCA
rnacentral:misc_RNA from 1 species